rnacentral:rRNA from 1 species
UGGCUCAGGACGAACGCUGGCGGCGUGCUUAACACAUGCAAGUCGAGCGGAAAGGCCCUUCGGGGUACUCGAGCGGCGAACGGGUGAGUAACACGUGAGUAAUCUGCCCUUGGCUUUGGGAUAACUACCGGAAACGGUGGCUAAUACCGGAUACGACGCACUCAGGCAUCUGAUGUGUGUGGAAAGUUUUUCGGCCAGGGAUGUGCUCGCGGCCUAUCAGCUUGUUGGUGGGGUAAUGGCCUACCAAGGCUUCGACGGGUAGCCGGCCUGAGAGGGUGACCGGCCACACUGGGACUGAGACACGGCCCAGACUCCUACGGGAGGCAGCAGUGGGGAAUAUUGGACAAUGGGCGGAAGCCUGAUCCAGCAACGCCGCGUGAGGGAUGACGGCCUUCGGGUUGUAAACCUCUUUCAGUACCGACGAAGCGCCGAUGAUGGUGGUGACGGUAGGUACAGAAGAAGCACCGGCCAACUACGUG